AUGAGGGCCUUAUUCUGGAAUAUUAGAGGGUUCGGUGCUAGGGGGCGCCGUGACCAACUGAAAGAUUUGGUUCGUUCUAACCCUAUUGACUUUGUGGGGCUGGUUGAAACGUUUAAGGAUUCCUUUACCCCCAGUGAGCUUUCUGCUAUCGUGGGUAUGGAUAGAUUUCAGUGGCAAUCUUUACCGGCUUCGGGCCACUCUGGUGGGAUUCUGAUCGGUUCUAAUAAGGAUAUUUUUGACUUUGUUGCUUUUGAUCAUGGGUUUUAUUGGGCUAGUGUUGUUAUCUCGCAUAGAUCUAUGAAUGCCCUCUGUGAAUUUAUAGUUGUUUAUGGGCCUGCGGAUCACUCCUUUUCGCACCUUUUCCUUGAUGAACUUUCGAUCAAGCUUGAGUCCUGUUCUCUCCCGACGGUGAUUGGGGGAGACUUUAAUCUUCUG
rnacentral:rRNA from 1 species